CUCAAGGCCACGGGACAGGCGCCUCGGCGCGCGCUCUGCUUCUCAAGAAGUUCUUCCGAGCCUACCAGAAUCUACCCCUAGUCAGAGCACUGAAAACGGGAAGGUCGGCUGCAGGAACGAGUUGAGAUUGAGGAUCAGUGACUCGCCCAAGAUUACACACCUGUUUCUUCUUUAAAAGAACAUGGACCAGGUUCCCCAAGGGCUGAGCCAGGGCCAUUUAAGUGAUGUGCUCAGUUAUCUAAAAAAGCCUUUCUUCUACAUCAAGAACAGGAGUUGUCAUUUCAGAUCUCGUGAAGAGAAAGAAGCCAGAGAAAGAGGAAAAAUGCACGGCAGCUUUUGUCUGUUAGGUGUCCAGUAAAUUAGGUUGAGUGGAUGGAUGGAUGGAUGAGACUUAGGGAAACUGCACAUCCAGUCACCGCAUGGUCCUUCUUACAAGUCCUGAACAACUCUCCCGGCUCCCCGGUCCUUUAACCCAUCCACAAGAUCUCACGUUAUAAACGACGACGUUCCCAGCCAAGGAGGAAGAAAUAGGUGUGGCACUAGAGAGAAACUGGGAAGUAACUUGCUCU